UACGUAGGGCGCAAGCGUUAUCCGGAAUUACUGGGCGUAAAGAGCUCGUAGGCGGUUUGUCGCGUCUGCCGUGAAAGUCCGGGGCUCAACUCCGGAUCUGCGGUGGGUACGGGCAGACUAGAGUGAUGUAGGGGAGACUGGAAUUCCUGGUGUAGCGGUGAAAUGCGCAGAUAUCAGGAGGAACACCGAUGGCGAAGGCGGGUCUCUGGGCAUUAACUGACGCUGAGGAGCGAAAGCGUGGGGAGCGAACAGG
rnacentral:rRNA from 1 species